CCUACGGGUGGCUGCAGUGGGGAAUAUUGGACAAUGGGCGAAAGCCUGAUCCAGCCAUGCCGCGUGUGUGAAGAAGGCCUUCGGGUUGUAAAGCACUUUCAGUGGGGAAGAAAGCCUUGGGGCUAAUACCCUCGAGGAAGGACAUCACCCACAGAAGAAGCACCGGCUAACUCCGUGCCAGCAGCCGCGGUAAUACGGAGGGUGCGAGCGUUAAUCGGAAUUACUGGGCGUAAAGCGCGCGUAGGCGGUCUGAUAAGCCGGUUGUGAAAGCCCCGGGCUCAACCUGGGAACGGCAUCCGGAACUGUCAGGCUAGAGUGCAGGAGAGGAAGGUAGAAUUCCCGGUGUAGCGGUGAAAUGCGUAGAGAUCGGGAGGAAUACCAGUGGCGAAGGCGGCCUUCUGGACUGACACUGACGCUGAGGUGCGAAAGCGUGGGUAGCAAACAGGAUUAGAUACCUGUAGUC
rnacentral:rRNA from 1 species